AGUGAACGCUGGCGGUAGGCCUAACACAUGCAAGUCGAACGGCAGCACAGUAAGAGCUUGCUCUUACGGGUGGCGAGUGGCGGACGGGUGAGGAAUACAUCGGAAUCUACUUUUUCGUGGGGGAUAACGUAGGGAAACUUACGCUAAUACCGCAUACGACCUACGGGUGAAAGCAGGGGAUCUUCGGACCUUGCGCGAUUGAAUGAGCCGAUGUCGGAUUAGCUAGUUGGCGGGGUAAAGGCCCACCAAGGCGACGAUCCGUAGCUGGUCUGAGAGGAUGAUCAGCCACGCUGGAACUGAGACACGGUCCAGACUCCUACGGGAGGCAGCAGUGGGGAAUAUUGGACAAUGGGCGCAAGCCUGAUCCAGCCAUACUGCGUGGGUGAAGAAGGCCUUCGGGUUGUAAAGCCCUCUUGUUGGGAAAGAAAAGCAGCAGGUUAAUACCCCGCUGUUCUGACGGUACCCAAAGAAUAAGCACCGGCUAACUUCGUG
rnacentral:rRNA from 1 species